rnacentral:rRNA from 1 species
GGAUGAACGCUGGCGGCGUGCCUAAUACAUGCAAGUCGAGCGAACGGACGAGAAGCUUGCUUUUCUGAUGUUAGCGGCGGACGGGUGAGUAACACGUGGAUAACCUACCUAUAAGACUGGGAUAACUUCGGGAAACCGGAGCUAAUACCGGAUAAUAUUUUGAACCGCAUGGUUCAAAAGUGAAAGACGGUCUUGCUGUCACUUAUAGAUGGAUCCGCGCUGCAUUAGCUAGUUGGUAAGGUAACGUCUUACCAAGGCAACGAUGCAUAGCCGACCUGAGAGGGUGAUCGGCCACACUGGAACUGAGACACGGUCCAGACUCCUACGGGAGGCAGCAGUAGGGAAUCUUCCGCAAUGGGCGAAAGCCUGACGGAGCAACGCCGCGUGAGUGAUGAAGGUCUUCGGAUCGUAAAACUCUGUUAUUAGGGAAGAACAUAUGUGUAAGUAACUGUGCACAUCUUGACGGUACCUAAUCAGAAAGCCACGGCUAACUACGUG